ACAGAGAGAGGAGAGAAAGGGUGAGAAAAUAGAGAGGAGAGAGGAGAGGAAACAGAGAGGAGAGAAAACAGAGAGAGGAGAGAAAGGGUGAGAAAACAGAGAGGAGAGAGGAGAGGAAACAGAGAGAGGAGAGGAAACAGAGAGGAGAGAAAACAGAGAGAGGAGAGAAGACUGAGAGAGGAGAGAAAACAGAGAGAGGAGAGAAGACUGAGAGAGGAGAGAAAGGGUCUGAGAGCUCUGGGACAAACUGGCUGCAAGCUCUGAAAUUCAAGAAAAAAACCCCGAAAUGAGAGAGACAGAGAGAGAGACAGAGAGAGAGAGAGACAGAGAGAGAGAGACUGAGAGAGACUCUGUGUGACCCCCCCUCCAAUCCAAGUGGAAGAGACUCCCUGUGACCAAGACAUCCUGUCACAAAACUAGAGAGGGGAGGGAGGCGGGACGUUAUACAGGACUGGGAAUGAGACUCCCGCUGCACAGGAGUGUGAUCCAGUCCUGGUUUCACUGGGAGUUUAAUAAUAAGACACACCUGAGCUUGUUAGCUAGACACACUGGGGCUGAUCAAGCUGGUAGUAAAACCUGGACUGGGUGACGCUGCUGUGCAACAGGAGUCUGAUCCCAUUGUGUGUAUAUGAGUGUUUGUUGUAGGGAAAUAUUCUAGUAAUAAUAAUAAUAAUAAUAUAUAUAUAUAUGUGACGUUGUUACUAUUCUGAUUAUUAAAAUUACCACACCCAUGUUAAUCACUGUUUCUGUAAUUGCUAAAGACAGCUCUGAUUGUGAAUAAAACUAUUUUGGAAAAAUUGAA